UAGGGAAUAUUGCUUAAUGGGCGAAAGCCUGAAGCAGCAACGCCGCGUGUGUGAAGAAGGCCUUCGGGUUGUAAAACACUUUUUGAGGGAAUGAGGAAGGACAGUACCCUCAGAAUAAGCCUCGGCUAACUACGUGCCAGCAGCCGCGGUAAAACGUAGGAGGCGAGCGUUAUCCGGAUUUACUGGGCGUAAAGCGCGUGCAGGCGGCACGGCAAGUUGGAUGUGAAAGCUCCCGGCUUAACUGGGAGAGGUCGUUCAAAACUGCCGAGCUAGAGUGCGGGAGAGGGAGGUGGAAUUCCGGGUGUAGUGGUGAAAUGCGUAGAUAUCCGGAGGAACACCAGUGGCGAAAGCGGCCUCCUGGACCACUUCUGACGCUCAGACGCGAAAGCUAGGGUAGCAAACGG
rnacentral:rRNA from 1 species